UAACUAAAUCUGAACAUUCAUGGUCCCAC
rnacentral:sRNA from 1 species